UGAAGAACGUGCUUCACCACCAGGCCAUUUUAAGAUCUGUCUCGCUCUUGCAGUCAGCAAUGAAUGUGUCCAUAUUCAGUCUUUUGUUCUUCAAUAUGGCAAAUCUAUGUUCCAGUUUAUUUGUCGCCGCCGUGCUGGUGCAGAGAGAUGGAAAUGUAGGAAAGGCGCUGAAUGCACUUUUCUCGAUACCCGCUCUCCUGUAUG